GAGCCAGGCUCCUUCCUCAACCUCGACCGCUGGUAAGCCUUGUUCGGACUCCUACGGGAGCCGAACCUCCCCUCUGACUUUAAUUGCAGGGAGAUUCCACCCGGACUCCUACGGGAGUCGGGCUUCGCCCUCAACUCCAACAGCUACAGGCAGACUUCGUCCAGACUCCUACGGGAGUCGGACUCCACCCACGACCCCAACCGCAAGGGGGACUCCGCCC
rnacentral:lncRNA from 1 species